rnacentral:rRNA from 1 species
AGUGAACGCUGGCGGUAGGCCUAACACAUGCAAGUCGAACGGCAGCACAGUAAGAGCUUGCUCUUACGGGUGGCGAGUGGCGUACGGGUGAGGAAUAUAUCGGAAUCUACUUUUUCGUGGGGGAUAACGUAGGGAAAUUUACGCUAAUACCGCAUAUGAUCUACGGGUGAAAGCAGGGGAUCUUCUGACCUUGCGCGAUUGAAUUAGCCGAUGCCGGAUUAGCUAGUUGGCGGGGUAAAGACCCACCAUGGCGACGAUCCGUAGCUGGUCCGAGAGGAUGAUUGGCCACACUGGAACUGAGACACGGUCCAGAGUCCUACGGUAGGCAGCAGUGGGGAAUGUUGGACAAUGGUUGCAAGCCUGGUCCAGCCGUACCGCGUGGGUGAAGAAGGCCUUCGGGUUGUAAAGCCCUUUUUUUGGGUAAGAAAAGCAGCAGGUUAAUACCCCGCUGUUCUGACGGUACCCAAAGAAUAAGCACCGGCUAACUUCGUG